rnacentral:rRNA from 1 species
UACGAAGGGGGCUAGCGUUGUUCGGAAUUACUGGGCGUAAAGCGCACGUAGGCGGAUCGAUCAGUCAGGGGUGAAAUCCCAGGGCUCAACCCUGGAACUGCCUUUGAUACUGUCGAUCUGGAGUAUGGAAGAGGUGAGUGGAAUUCCGAGUGUAGAGGUGAAAUUCGUAGAUAUCGGGAGGAACACCAGUGGCGAAGGCGGUUGCCUGGAGCUUUGCUGACGCUGAUGCGCGAAAGCGUGGGGAGCGAUCCGG